rnacentral:rRNA from 1 species
CCUACGGGAGGCAGCAGUGAGGAAUAUUGGUCAAUGGGCGGGAGCCUGAACCAGCCAAGCCGCGUGAAGGAAGAAGGCGCCAGGCGUCGUAAACUUCUUUUGUCGGGGAACAAAGGGCGCCACGCGUGGCGUUGUGAGUGUACCCGAAGAAAAAGCAUCGGCUAACUCCGUGCCAGCAGCCUCGGUAAUACGGAGGAUGCAAGCGUUAUCCGGAUUUAUUGGGUUUAAAGGGUGCGUAGGCUGUGAGGUAAGUCAGCGGUGAAAUGCCCCCGCACAACGGGGUGAAGUGCCAUUGAUACUGCGUGGCGGGAAGGCGGAUGCCGAGGGAGGAAUGUGGGGGGGAGGGGGGAAAUGAAUAGAGAGCACAGAGAACAGCGAUUGCGAAGGAA